rnacentral:rRNA from 1 species
AUGACGGCGGAGGAGGAAGCCCGUCUCGUGCAGCGUGUCAUGGAGGACUCCAUGCGCACACACGACGAGCGGCAAUGGGACGGCUUGGAGGAGGCCAUGGCACUGUCUGCCGCCGGCGACGUGGCCUUCCCGGAGCUGCAGAUGGCGGCCUUGACGGAGGAAAGGAGGGAGGACGCCAUGGAGGAGGAGCCGGCGGCCGCCUUCCAGCAGCUGGUGUGCACGGGGUGGGCCUGGUCCUGCACUGCUCCGGAGAUGGCGGCCGUCCUGGGCGUGGACUGGCGCGCCACUCCGCCGCAGUCACCGGAGCGGGAGGGGUCGCCACGGGAGGAGGUGUUGCAGGCACCUCCCGCCGUCCAGCCCGCCCCGUCUACCAGGCACCGCACGCACCGCCGGCCCACCUGUGGACGCCGCCGGCCUACGUCAACCUCGUCAGCGACGACGACGACACCGGUGGCCAGUGAAGAGCGCCACGGCGACGGCAACGACGGGCACGGGCAGGAGCGCGCCGGCGGCGACCGUUUUUUUUCUUUUUUAUGUUUAAUUAUUAAUUUGACGAAACUGGGCCGUUUUGUGGCCAUGGACCCCCUAACUAAGUUUUAUCUUUUAUUAAACUGCGUUUAUUUACUUUUUUAG